AUGCGGUACAGACUUAAGCAGUGAGCAUGUAUUUAUUCGAUAAUCCACGACUAAUCUUACCAUAUUUUGAAUAUUAUAAUAAUUAAUUUAAUUAUUAUAUUACAGGCGUUACAUUGUUGUCUUUAGUUCGUGCUGCAAAGUUUUAGAUUAAGUUCAUAAACGAACAAAACUCCAUAUAUAUAAUCUUAAUUAUAUAUAAUUUUUAUAUUAUUUAUUAAUAUAAAGAAAGGAAUUAAGACAAAUCAUAAUGAUCCUUAUAAUAUGGGUAAUAGACGUGCUAUAAUAAAAUGAUAAUAAAAUUAUAUAAAAUAUAUCUAAUAAUAUAUUUAAUUAAUAAUAUAAAACAUUUUAACUUUUAAUAUAUUUAUAUAUUAUAUAUUAAUAUGAAUUAUAAUCUGAAAUUCGAUUAUAUGAAAAAAGAAUUGCUAGUAAUACGUAAAUUAGUAUGUUACGGUGAAUAUUCUAACUGUUUCGCACUAAUCACUCAUCACGCGUUGAAACAUCUUAUUAUCCUAUUAUAUAAUAUAAUUUAAUAAAUAUUUAAUGAUUAUUUAUUAUUAUUAUAUUUAUAUCCGAAAUAAUAUGAA
rnacentral:rRNA from 1 species